AGCUGCGGCACACCACGGAAACUUUGCUGACAGCUUAGAGGAGGAGGAUGAACUUCAGAAGCCUUCUUGACACAUGGGGCUAGCGUUUUAACAGAGCCACAGUGUCUCCUCCUCCAAUCAUCCAAAAAAUGGAAAUUCUUAUUUUUGUAUUUGGCAUUUUUAGAGCAAAUCAUAACUGCGAAUCUCUUGAUGGACACUGUUGAGCUCUCAAAUAUAGUGCUAUCAUUCUUAGCAAUGUUCCUCAACUUUCAAAUCUGAUAACGUAAGAGAUCAGCAGGCACGCUGGAAUGGAACAUAGCAUGAAUGGAGCCAGAAAACCUGAGACCCAGCGGUAGCAAGCCCAUCUGUGUGACCUUGGACAUAACAGGUCACCUCACUGCCCUCUCUGAGUCUCAGUUUCUGCAUCACAGGACUAUUGUGAGGUCACAGGAAAUCAUGCAAAUCUGAGAGCUUUGAGAACCGCAAAAUCCUAUUUGGCCAUGGAUUAUUAUUAUUUAUUUCAAACAGUGAUUGCGAGACGUUACCUUUCCUAAUAAUUAUCAACCUAUGCUGUGCUGGCCAGAUCCUGCACCGGAACGAGCACCCUCCACCUAGACACCCUCCAGUGUCCCUGCCAAGAAGAGUCACUCUCAGGUGGGGCCUGUGUGGCACGAGAAUGCCCCCCCAGGGGUCUGUGGGGUAGCUCAGCUCUAUUGUACCAGGCCCAGGAGCAUUGGAAACUGCUUGUGCCCACAAAGCUCCACAUCAAACAGCACGUGGAGGUUAAAAGCAAGACUGAGCCCAAGUUCUGCGCAUGUAGAGCUGUAACAGUACCACGAAAGAGCUAGGCAAUGGGGACUGCUGGAAAAAUUUCCCCAGCCAACUUAGACCAUCUUUGAGGCAGGGUGUUUUCGGGGUGACGGCAGGGGGAAAACUGAGGAAUAUGCAUUUUAAACAAGUGCCAGUUAAAUCAGAUGCACCGGACAAAAACUCUAUGAUGGGAAACUUGAUGGAGGGAAGCAAAGAAAGGGUUCUCCAUGGAUGGGGUGCCAGGUGCUUGAUAGAAAGCAAUACCUCUUAAAGGAAACCAUGGUUGUGCAAGAGACCCAUUUCUUGGUUGGGCUUCUUCCUUCCCUUAAUAUAAUAUCACUGUCCCCAUCCACCCACACACGCCCCGGGGGAUCAAGGUACGCUGGUCAGGCACACAGUAGGUGGUCCGCUGAGGGCUUUGCAACAGCGAAAGCAUUCAUUGUCUGCCUCCAGCUCCUACCAAAGCUUAGCGCGGAGAGAUGAUCUCAGAGAGAUUUAUCUAAAACACAGUCUGUCUACCCACUCCAGAUAUCUUAAAGGAAAAGUCCAUUGAUCCCUGUGUCACUAGUCAACACACCCUAGAUUCAACCUCAGCAUUCUAUUUUUUUCCCUCCACCUAUUGGGUCAACAAAAACUCAUCAGACUCCAUCUAUGUCAGGCACGUGCACAGAGCUGGAAAUGUAGGAUGCGUGGGAUUGCAUUUCUGUCUUAAAGGAGUUGAUAUUCUUGGAGAAUUCAGAAACUAAGCAGUCACAGCAGCACACGAACAUUCAGCUUCUGGAGCACCGCUGCCCCCAGCACAGUAUGUCACCCCCAAGGUCAACUGGGGAAGGUUUCUUGUCUCCGCUUCAUAGCUACCAAUGCUGAGUCUCGGAGAGGCGCAUUAGGAAACAAGGAUGAAUAAGCCAGAGUAUCCACUUCCAAGAAAUUGAGUCCAUUAGGGGAGAUGAGCAUUACGCAGCUGACUCUGGUACAAAAAUGAUAUGUGUGAUAUUAACAAUGAUCCAGAGUGCAAUGGGGACACAGAGUUCAGAGCGGUCCGUUCUGCCAGAGAAGGCCCCACCCAGGAGUUGGUAUUUGAGUGCAUUGAGUGGAAGAGUAUCCUGGGCAGAGGGAACAGAGCGAGCUAAAGCGAGGGGCCGCAGGAAGAAUAUAACGUGUUCUAAGAGCCACGCACACAGGGUUUGAAACCGCUGGAGGGUUUAUAGAAAGUGCUUCAGCCUAAUCUUGGGGGAUGUCAACAGCUCUCAGCUGCCACCCUCCACCUCAUUUGGCACGCUCCCCGAGGCUGUGGCCUGUGUCCACCUAAUGGGCCAGUACAACACCUGGCCAAGUGCCGGUGGCAUUGUGGGGCUUAAUGAAUUCCCUUUGAAGAUGAGAGGACUGUGAGGGAGAGAAGAAUUUGCCACUCAAGUGAGUCAACUGGAACGGAAGGUGUGUCCGGCCACUCAGGCCCAGCUCUCUGGCUAGUCGACCAGACAGCCCGGGCCACCUCCCCUGGGUCCAUGGGGUUCUACUAGGGAACAUCAAGUCUUUUUUCAGCAAGUAGUUCCUAAGCCGCAGCACUUCUGGCUCAUCCUUGUAUUUGUAGUUUUACCAACAUAAUUGAUCCCAGAGCUAGGUCUCCGCCAUACCCAUUGGUUUCCUAGGGAGUGAUGGUAUAUUUAGGCUGCUUUUAGAGCACCAACACAGCCCAGCCUCCUGGGGAUAGCAUGGAAGGACAUGUAAGAGGCAGACUUAAAUAGUCCUGAGCUGUGUAGUCAUCCUUUUGGGUUCUCUGAGCUUCCUGUCCUGAGCUACGGUUUUUCUCCUGGGGUUAGCCGAGGCACCAAGAGAUAAACAAAGCUUUAAAGGGACUCUCCCCUUUGGAAAGCUGCACUGGAACCCAAGAUGCUGCUUCGCUCUACCUUCUGAUGAGUGCGUCCAGCCUUCCAAUGAGUACACCCCUGUGUAGACUCUCUGAGGUGUGUGUGGGGCGGGGGGGAGAAAAGACCACGCGAGCUUGAAACUUCUCUAAAAUGCCCUUCUUCAUACGUUGGGUCUACAAAAUGUCAAAACAGCCAGGUAAAUCAUGCUAGGAUUCAUCAUGGCAGUGGGCAACCAGUCAACCCUGAUAUUUAACUCUGAGCCACCCAAACAACUCUUGGUGACUAAGGUUUUUUCCACUUACACCGGAUUCUUCUGCUUUCACCACACAAUUAUAUUAGCAAAUGAGAUCCCUGAGUAAGCAAAAUAGGCCCUUCACACACACAUUCCUUAGCCUACUACAGAGAAUUCAGAGUCAGGGAACAUUCAUUCACAUAAGCUUUUCAAAAUACACCUCCAAGCCAUUUUCACCAUGGAAUUGCUGUGAUCUCAAAAAUCAAGCGUGUGCAAAAGCAGGCAGCCAGUGGUUUGCAAGAGAAUGAGAACUGAGCAAUGAACAAAAUUAACACUUACAACUUAUGUAACCGGCAAAAGAUUAACACCCAGAAUAUAGGGGAAGGAGGAGGCCCCUGCACAUCCAUAAGAAGGAAGGACAACAGAAAUAAAUUGGCAGCCUUGAUGAACACGCACAUGGCAGAAAAGGAAACGAUCCUUAGGGCACGGAAAGAUGUUCGACUUCGCUAAUAAUCAAAGAAAUGCAAGUCUGAAAAUUAAGAGAUGCCAUUUCACACCCAUCACAUUGGCCAAAAUUUUUGAAGUCUGAUGAUGCGAAGUGUUUAUAUGAAGAAUAUGAAACAACAGCAAAGCACAAACGCACUGAUGAUAGAACUGGAGAGAAAUUUGGUUAAUAUCCACCAAAUUUGAGACUACCUAUAUCUUAUCUCACAGGUAUUCCACUCUCAGAUGUACAACUGAGAGAAACUGUCUGUAUGCAAAGAACUUUACACAAGGAUGUUCACUGCAUCAUUGUUUACAGGCGAGAAAAGAACUUUAAAGCUCCAUUAGUAGAGAAAUGCCCAAUAUAUUGUAACCCAUUCAUAAAAAAGGAAUAUGAUAUGGAAGCUAAAGUGAAUGGAAUGAAACCAACGUACCAAUACAAUUAUAUCUAAAAUAAUAAUACUGAGUGAAAAAAGUAAUUUGCAGAAUAAAUCGGUAUUGUGCCGCUUACG